CACGUAGUUAGCCGGCGCUUUUCUGCAGGUACCGUCACUUUCGCUUCUUCCCUGCUAAAAGAGGUUUACAACCCGAAGGCCGUCAUCCCUCACGCGGCGUUGCUGCAUCAGGCUUCCGCCCAUUGUGCAAUAUUCCCCACUGCUGCCUCCCGUAGGAGUCUGGGCCGUGUCUCAGUCCCAGUGUGGCCGGUCACCCUCUCAGGCCGGCUACCCGUCGACGCCUUGGUGAGCCAUUACCUCACCAACAAGCUGAUAGGCCGCGAGCCCAUCCCAGACCGAAAAUCUUUCCAAACACGACCAUGCGAUCACGUCUCAUAUCCAGUAUUAGACGCCGUUUCCAGCGCUUAUCCCAGAGUCCAGGGCAGGUUGCUCACGUGUUACUCACCCGUUCGCCACUGAUCCACCAAGCAAGCUUGGCUUCACCGUUCGACUUGCAUGUGUUAAGCACGCCGCCAGCGUUCAUCCUGAGCCAGGAUCAAACUCU
rnacentral:rRNA from 1 species